rnacentral:rRNA from 1 species
GAUGAACGCUGGCGGCGUGCCUAACACAUGCAAGUCGAACGAAGUAUAUAUAGGAAGUCUUCGGAUGGAAUAUGUAUAACUUAGUGGCGGACGGGUGAGUAACGCGUAAGUAAUCAACCUGUGACACACGGAUAACUGAUAGAAAUGUCAGCUAAUACGAGAUGAACUGUUUAGAUUGGGAGAUGGAAACAGCAAAGCGAAAGCGGUCACAGACGAGCUUGCGUCUGAUUAGCUAGUUGGUGGGGUAAGAGCCUACCAAGGCGACGAUCAGUAGCCGGCCUGAGAGGGUGAACGGCCACAUUGGAACUGAGACACGGUCCAAACUCCUACGGGAGGCAGCAGUGGGGAAUAUUGCACAAUGGGGGGAACCCUGAUGCAGCAACGCCCGCGUGAGUGAAAGAAAGGGCCCCCUAGGGUUCGUAAAAGCUCUGUUCGUAUGGG